UACGUAGGGUGCGAGCGUUGUCCGGAAUUACUGGGCGUAAAGAGCUCGUAGGUGGUUUGUCGCGUUGUUCGUGAAAUCUCACGGCUUAACUGUGAGCGUGCGGGCGAUACGGGCAGACUGGAGUACUGCAGGGGAGACUGGAAUUCCUGGUGUAGCGGUGGAAUGCGCAGAUAUCAGGAGGAACACCGGUGGCGAAGGCGGGAUCCUGGGCCAGUACUGACGCUGAGGAGCGAAAAGCGUGGGGAGCAACAGG
rnacentral:rRNA from 1 species